AUUGUCGCUUUUUUCUUACAAACUAUACACUAAUGUGUUGAAGCAAAUUAGUAACACUUAUUAUCUACGGAUUGUCCGUAAGUAAUUUGUUACAAAGUUGCAACAACUCACGUUGUAACAUAUAGUUACAACUUAGAUACAAGAAAUUAAUAACAAAUGUGUUACGACUUUCUGUCACUUAUACUUACAAACCUCCACAGUCAGCCAGUAGCAACUUAGCAGCAAAUUGGGUCGAAUUAUCCCUAAAGUCCAUAGAUGAAAAAAUACAAAGACAGCUUGACGAGAUUGAAAUCUCUAGAAGCUCGGAUGGUGCUACUCUUGAUGGCAGCCUCACUCGUCUUGACAAAGACAAGCUGUUCUACAAAGUAAUCAUUCUUUUUAAUCUUUUUUAUUGCAUGCUCACUCUUAAAUUUCACUUUAUGCUAUAUAAAUAUUGAUAGAACAGAAGGGCAUGAAAGGUUUAUUUAAAAUUAGUUCACUAUCUUGUGUUACUUUCAAUAGCAUGAAAGAUUUAUUUAAAAUUAUUGAGACUUGAUUAAAACUGUUUUAUAGAUACAGCUCAAAUCUUUUAUAGAUAAAGCUUAUAUAUUUCUGAAGUUGUUUAGCUUAUAGUUUUCAGCUUGAUGUCUUUGAGUACAAUUUCUAAUUGUAAUGAUUUUUUACAGGUUGUGGUACCUCAAAAUGGUAGGAUUUUUGGUGUCGGAGGGAUCCAGACACGUGAGAGAGAAGAAAGAUCAGCAGCUGGUGCUUUGCGUAGAGUCACUCUUGAACGCCAAGUCAUAACUUUGUAAGAGCAAUUGGCUUCUGUUAUAGAAUACAUGAAGCAAUAUAUGCCAAAUGGUGCGCCAAACUAUGGCUCGACUCAGCCAACACAAAGAACCGACGCGUCGGUGACCAGUCCAGAUCGUGCUAACAACAUGGAGACUAGAGAUGCUGCCCAAGACCAAGAUGGAGCUGAAGUUCCUUUAACAGCUUAAUUAAACAAGUCUUAAACAUAAAGAGAGAAAGUAUUUUCAACAUAAAGAGAGAAGGAAAGUGAUCCGAGAGUAGAAAACUUUAUACCUUCUCCUUCUUAAAAUCCAGCACCACCUUGAUACUCCUCACCAUCAAGAUCAUUAUGAUCACCAUCUUCUUCAUCGACAUGGGGGUUAGGAGGGACUUAAGCUCCAUCUUGGUCUUGGGCAGCAUAUCCAGUCUCCAU
rnacentral:lncRNA from 1 species